rnacentral:rRNA from 1 species
GACCGGGGGCGACAGCAAUAUGAAGGUCAGGCUGAAGACCUUACCCGAUUAGCUGAGAGGUGGUGCAUGGCCGUCGUCAGUUCGUACUGUGAAGCAUCCUGUUAAGUCAGGCAACGAGCGAGACCCACGUCCACAGUUGCCAGCAUACCCUCCGGGGUGAUGGGUACACUGUGGAGACCGCCGCUGCUAAAGCGGAGGAAGGAGUGGGCAACGGUAGGUCAGUAUGCCCCGAAUCUCCCGGGCUACACGCGGGCUACAAUGGUUGGUACAAUGGGCACCUACCCCGAAAGGGGAAGGAAAUCUCUUAAAGCCAAUCGUAGUUCGGAUUGAGGGCUGCAACUCGCCCUCAUGAAGCUGGAAUCCGUAGUAAUCGCGUUUCAACAGAACGCGGUGAAUACGUCCCUGCUCCUU